UUCCUUGCUCCGCAAUGCAUAUGAUGUUGCUACUCAACUAUAUGAUCCGUAUGCUGUCCUUAGGUGUUUGCCUGCCCUGGAUAAGUUCACUGAAGAUUUUCCUAGAGGUCCUGCUUGGAACGUGAAGGUCGGGAUCUGAUCAGCAGAAGUAGUUGACUAGUAGGGGAGCAUAGCUUUGAGUGAAGUGAAAUCAAGAGAAGGAUCGAUCAAAAGGUAAGGUUGACUAAAGGCAAUCUCUUUGCCUGUCCAACAUUUCUGGUUAGAAGUAAAACAUAUGUGGCCCAUGACCUUCACACAGGUUACAAAUUGCAUCAGAUCUGCCUGGUCACAGUCGGUAGGAAGCAACACCAUGUGUUAGCCGUACUGGCCUCAUCCAUCAUUCUCAAUCAUUCAGAAUUCAGAAUUGCAUACAGACCAACUGGAAGGACCUCUUGCUAAGUGGGUUCUUUAGAUCUGUAGCUGUACAAUGAUCAUACGGAGUAGUCUUUUUUCGAUCUGAUGAUAGUCGUGCUAGAAAUCAAGCAUACCAAUGUUGCUGCAAAUCUAACAAAAAACUCUAACAUGAGUAUUUUGCAAUUACCAUACAUACAAUCACCUACUACUCCAAUGCUUGUACGGAGUGCUUCUUUCUUUAAAAAAUAAACUGGAGCAUUGGUAAUUCACUAACGGAUAUAUUUCUGAUCAACAUUAGUCGAAUGCAUGGAUAUUUUUCCCCCUAAGUAUUCUGCUUCUUCUCUUUCUGUGAGUGCCAACAUCCAUAUUUCAUGUAUGUAAGUGCCUUGUCAUUUGGAGCAUGUUUUCGUCACAUCUAAUAUUUCAGCAGCAUUUCUUGAUUAGCAGAUGCUCAUGUGCAUAGAAGUUUGAUUGCCAGCAUAAUCAUCAGAGGAGAGUAGGUGGUGACAAAGACCAACCAGUACUUCUGAGUAGUGAACUCACACACAAUUCAGAAGCCUUUUGUGUCGUCAAAACUCUAGAGCUACCCUUGUUGGAUCAAAUAUACGAGAGAUCGCCCCAAAUGAUAUGUUGCUAAUUAAGUGUGUCUUGGACUGAUUGUGGCGAAUAGAAGGCUUUUCAAUUGCAGCUUGUGUCUUUUGCUGUGGAUUCCGAGCCACACUGUAGAGGUGAAUUACUUCAUUUUUUUAUAGGACAUGCUGCACACCCCAGAGGUCAAAUGGCGAACAUACCAGUAGUGUUAUUUCUUUUUUCAUUCACAUAGGUUUGUUAGCCCUUAGUAUUUUAGUAAUAAGUUGAGGAGAGUGGACAAAUGGAGCUUCCAUUUUUAUAAAAGGAACAUAUGUAGUGAUUCUUUGCAGAUGCAUGCGAGGGAAGAAGUUCACACUAACGUCCGAAGAAAUUAAGAUUUUUUUUUGUCUUCGAAAGCUGAAAGGAUGGAAAAAGGACCCUCUCAUUUCAAGACCAGUAGAGGGAUCACUGCCAGUUUCUCCAGCAUGACAUCUGCUUAUGUAUCAAUACAACUCCCAUGACUCCAGGACAGAUCUAAAUGGAAGCAAUCCAUUGAUUGGCGACCCGCCACCAACCAUGAUUAUUGCCUAGUUGCAUGUGUUAUGUGGAUAAAAGGACCGGGAAAAUACAGUUAACAGUAUGAAGUACAAACAAGUAGAAAUUGAAAAGGCAAUGAACUCUGCACUUAUUCAGGCCAAGCCAUUUUUUUUUAAUGUUGAAAAUAUCAAGGUCACCCUAACUGUUUUUUUUUCUGAAGCAGUAACAAACUCAGUUAGGUUUCUGCGAAGCUGUAAUUCAGAUUGCAGAGUAUACGUGCCUGUGAUCCGACUUGAACCUUGUGGUAUGGCCAUUGCAGGAACAUGAUCAAAAGGAAGUGAACACGGUAGAAACCUGGAUCAGAACCCUCAGGAUGUUAGGGUGAUCUGAGACCUGAGGAAUCCAAUGCUGGACCGGAAGCGAAAGAUGGACCACCUAAAUGUUGAAUUUGUAGAAAUGCCUAGUGGGGAGCAAUGCCAAGUGGGAGCAAUCGAAAGCAUGAUUCAUCGAACAGGGGACUGGGAGCAUACGUACGGUUAAUGCCUAGAGCGACCCAGGGAGCCUUCCGCUGCGC